rnacentral:rRNA from 1 species
AGUGAACGCUGGCGGUAGGCCUAACACAUGCAAGUCGAACGGCAGCACAGUAAGAGCUUGCUCUUACGGGUGGCGAGUGGCGGACGGGUGAGGAAUACAUCGGAAUCUACUUUUUCGUGGGGGAUAACGUAGGGAAACUUACGCUAAUACCGCAUACGACCUACGGGUGAAAGCAGGGGAUCUUCGGACCUUGCGCGAUUGAAUGAGCCGAUGUCGGAUUAGCUAGUUGGCGGGGUAAAGGCCCACCAAGGCGGCGAUCCGUAGCUGGUCUGAGAGGAUGAUCAGCCACACUGGAACUGAGACACGGUCCAGACUCCGACGGGAGGCAGCAGUGGGGAAUAUUGGACAAUGGGCGCAAGCCUGAUCCAGCCAUACCGCGUGGGUGAAGAAGGCCUUCGGGUUGUAAAGCCCUUUUGUUGGGAAAGAAAAGCAGCAGGUUAAUACCCCGCUGUUCUGACGGUACCCAAAGAAUAAGCACCGGCUAACUUCGUG